UUCAUAGGCAGGGCCUUGUCACAUCAGUGGAGGAAGAGCCAAGCCUAUAAUGUGCAGUUUGGGGGCCCCAGGCCAAUCCAGCAUAGGAAAAUUGCAAUGGGCCAGCCUCAUUCCUUGCAUAUUGGAGUUUUGGGCCAAAGCCCCAGCUAAUAAUAAAGGUCACUUUUCUUUGUUUUAGACUCUGGGAAAAUCUACAUUCCCCGAGAUCUCCAGGAAACAGGAAAGAGAUAAAAGCCAUCAUUGCCAUCAUUUUCUCUUCAAAAGUUGGAGCAACACUGAACACUUCCUCAGACAACCCUGCACAUUUUAUUGAUGAUGCCCAGGUUCAUCCCUGAACACCGGGAGAAGUGGGAAGCUGUCAAGAGAUAAAAACAGAGGAUGACAGAUCUAAGAGGGACCAAGUGCCUGACUUUCCCCACAAACCCAAAGUGAGAACCAGCCCUCAGCAGGAGAGCGCCAAACCACUAGAAAAGGAAAAAAAUGACCACUUCUGAACAUCUUGCUGAAGCUUACCACUUACAGUCAAAAUGUCAUACAAGGAAAGAGAUGAAUUAUAAUGGCUCAUUACCUCGCCCCACCAUCUACACCAAGAGAGAGAAAACCAAGUCAACAGUGAAUGACUCCA